rnacentral:rRNA from 1 species
CUUGACAUCCAGCGAACUUGGCAGAGAUGCCUUGGUGCCUUCGGGAACGCUGAGACAGGUGCUGCAUGGCUGUCGUCAGCUCGUGUUGUGAAAUGUUGGGUUAACGUCCGCAACGAGCGCAACCCUUAUCCUUUGUUGCCAGCGAUUCGGUCGGGAACUCAAAGGAGACUGCCGGUGAUAAACCGGAGGAAGGUGGGGAUGACGUCAAGUCAUCAUGGCCCUUACGAGUAGGGCUACACACGUGCUACAAUGGCGCAUACAAAGAGAAGCGACCUCGCGAGAGCAAGCGGACCUCAUAAAGUGCGUCGUAGUCCGGAUCGGAGUCUGCAACUCGACUCCGUGAAGUCGGAAUCGCUAGUAAUCGUGGAUCAGAAUGCCACGGUGAAUACGUUCCCGGGCCUUGUACACACCGCCCGUCACACCAUGGGAGUGGGUUGCAAAAGAAGUAGGUAGCUUAACCUUCGGGAGGGCGCUUACCACUUUGUGAUUCAUGACUGGGGUGAAGUCGUAACAAGGUAAGCGUAGACGU